rnacentral:tRNA from 1 species
GGCAGAGUGCCCGAGUGGCCCAAGGGGUUGCACUCGAAAGAACGGUGGGACCAUCCCAUUAGUAUCUUGAUAUGCAAUACGUUCGCGUGCGCAGGUUCGAAUCCUGUCUCUGUCG